rnacentral:lncRNA from 1 species
GCCCUCUUUAGGGUAGUCUUUGAGUUUCCGACUGAAUGUCAAAUCAAACAUAAGGUCUUCCACCCAAGUACUCGCUCUUGUUCCUGAACCACCAAUUUCCUGGGUACAGGGUUAUGUUGGAGCUUCUAGGCAGGGUCUAGUUUAGUGGGAGACAAGAGGGGGCCAGGCCAGAGAACUGGUUGCAUUUAUGUGAUGAAGAGCCUCACUUUGGACAUAUGAUCAUCCUUGCAGGUGAGCUGAUGUGAGCAGUCACACUGACAAGGGUGAAAGAAGAAUGCAUCCUCAGAGACCCAGACUGGAGGACAGCUCCUAUCAGGCAUAUUGCUGGUAUCUUGACAGAGGAAGACAGGAUGCAGAGCCAGAAGAUUCUGUUCAGAAGUGGCACAACAACCAAAAAACAAAACAACUCUUGAUUUCGGCUUAGGUCAUGAUCCCAGGGUCAUGGUAUCAAGCCCCAAGUCGGGUUCUGUGUUGAGCGUGGAGUCUGCUUGAGAUUCAUUCUCUCUCUGUCUCUCUCUCUCUCUCUCACUCUCCCUCUGCCUCUCUCCCCAGCUUGUGCUCUCUCUAAAAAAAUAAAUAAAUAAAUAAAUAAAUAAAUAAAUAAAUA